rnacentral:rRNA from 1 species
AAGGAAUAUUGGUCAGUGGACGCAAGUCUGAACCAGCCAUGCCGCGUGAAGGAUUAAGGCCCUCUGGGUUGUAAACUUCUUUUAUAGGGGAAGAAAUGUGACGGUUCUCCGUCACUUGACGGUACCCUGGGAAUAAGCACCGGCUAACUCCGUGCCAGCAGCCGCGGUAAUACGGAGGGUGCAAGCGUUAUCCGGAUUCACUGGGUUUAAAGGGUGCGUAGGUGGGCAGAUAAGUCAGUGGUGAAAUCUUCCGGCUUAACCGGGAAACUGCCGUUGAUACUAUUUGUCUUGAAUAUUGCGGAGGUAAGCGGAAUAUGUCAUGUAGCGGUGAAAUGCUUAGAUAUGACAUAGAACACCUAUUGCGAAGGCAGCUUACUACACAAUCAUUGACACUGAGGCACGAAAGCGUGGGUAGCGAACA